UGCUAGAAGUGCUUGAAGCCAGUUGGUGU
rnacentral:sRNA from 1 species